rnacentral:tRNA from 1 species
UCUGUGGUGGUCCAGUGGUAAAGACUCUACCCUUCCAAUGUAGAGGGCCUGGGUUCAAUCCCUGGGCAGGGAA